UUACAUUAUUUUGAGAUGGAACAUAUGAGUUACCAAUUAUUACUAUGGAAAUGUAUUGGACGGGGAAAUAUCUUACGAGGAAGUGGUUACGGGGAAACGCAUGACGAGGAAAUGGCAGACGGGGAAGUGUCCAUGAAUCAUACAGGUGUUUCAAGUUUGGAAUCCGAGUUGUCAAAUUUUAAUAUUUAUUUGGAAAAAAUAUAUUCUUCUGAUUCAGAUGUAUUAUUAGCUAUUAAGAAAUUAAAUGUAUCUAUUAAAUACUUAGAAAAUCUAUCGGAUGUAAAUUUAUUGGAAAAAAAUGAUAUCCUGGUCACCACUUUAUUUGAAGAACUUGCAGUCAAACGACCAUGUUUUAGAAUUCUUGGCCGUCCAGCUUUACUGGAAUUGGCCGAAAGCCCUAAUGGUUUACAGGGCAUUAAUCGCCAUCGUUAUUGCAAUGCUCUUGUUGGUGCCAUUGUCAGUGUUACAGGAAUUCAAAAGAGAGAUGAAAUGGCACGUCUUCUGAGUUUGAUCCGUUGGAUGGGUGGUAGUUUUCGAGAAAGUAUUAAUUACAAAACUACUCAUUUGGUGUCUGGUUAUGCAUGUAGUGCUAAAUCCCAAUAUGCAUAUUUGCAUGAAAUUCCUGUUAUUGGAUCUUCGUGGCUUCAUGCAGCAUGGGAGAGACGCGAUGAAAUAGACUUCAAAGCAAUCAAUUCAUCAUUCUUUUCAGAACACAAGCUAAAACCAUUCCAUGGAGCCAAAAUAUGUUUUUCAGGGUUCACGGAAGAAGAGCGAUCACAUAUGGUUGAUGUUUUGUUACAAAAUGGGGGGACUCCAAUAAGCGAUGAAAAUGAUACAGAAUGUACUCAUCUGGUUACAAAAGAAGGUUCUAGUCCUUUAGGCGACCGAGAUCCAAAUACAACACCGUGUUUACGAGGUGUUUUGGCUCCUAAAAAUCUAAUUCAAGCAUUUGAUAAAGAGGAUUCAAGUCCUAAUACUCGAAAUGGGGGGUUAAAAAGAACACUGAGUGUGGUAGAUGGUGGAAAUUUGUCACAUGAAACCAAGAAGAUUCGCCUUCAAUCUUUAGACAUGGAUUGCGAUGAAUUUUUGUUUAAACAUCCCAAUCCUAUGUCAGCAUGUUUGGAUCAAACCGAUCAAACUUUGGUUGUUGAUGAAUCUUCAUUAGAUUCGAUUCCUCCUGUGAAGAAGAACAAUGCUGAAAUCCUGAAAGAAGCAUGGUUCUGGACAUCUGUACAAUACCAGAGUUGCGCCUUAACUAAAGAAUAUUUAUUAACCAAUUUAAAUGCGACCAACACACCUACAUCUACUCGUGUUAUGUCAUCUACAUUGACAUUAAGUUCUUCUUCUCGUGCACGCAAAAGAAAAAGGCAUUUAGACCGUUUGGGUUCUUUGUUAAGGCCUAGUCCAACACCUGUGGCAACUAUUGGUGAAACAUCGCCAACAAACAGUUCAGGGCCGUCAAAACGACGGUCAUCAGCUGCCAAUACCCUUGAUGGCCUAAGGUUGUCGUGUGGAUCAUUUUUAAACUUCACAAACAGCCCAGAUCAUCCAUCGCCCUUUAAACUACCAAAAGAUCCAGAUUUAGUUAUAAAAGAUAAACCAUUUAGCCCGCGAUAUCAAGUUUUCUCUGAAUUAUUACAAACUGAGAUUAACUAUGUGGGAGUGUUAAACACAAUAAUUACUGUGUACAAGGAACCAUUAGAAGAAAUGAUAGACAAAGAAGACUGUUUGCUUAAUAAUACAGAAAUUAAAAUUAUAUUUGGAAAUGUUUUACCUAUUUAUCAAGUACAUCAAGAGAUGUUAGAAGAGCUCAAGUGUCUUGCUACAUCUUGGCAAGAAGAUAGUAGUAUAGGCAGUGUUUUUCUCAAAUAUUCCAGCGAAUUAGUGAAAGCUUAUCCACCGUUUGUGAAUUUUUUUGAAAAAACAAGGGAGAUGUUAUUACAGUGUGACCAAACAAAACCUCGUUUUCAUGCUUUCCUUAAGGUCGGUCAGACAAGGCCCGAAUGUUGUCGACAGAGUCUUCAAGAACUUCUCAUUCGACCUGUGCAACGCUUACCCAGCGUUAGCCUACUGUUAAAUGAUAUUUUGAAACAUUCUGAUAAGAAUAAUCCUGAUCACCAAGCCCUUGUAUCAGCCUUAGCGAGUAUACGUGAAGUAAUGACUCAUAUUAAUGAAGAUAAAAGAAAAACUGAAGGUCAAGUUGUUCUUUUUGAUAUAUUUAAUGAUAUCGAUAAUUGUCCUCCUCAUUUAGUUUCUUCACAUCGAAGUUUUAUUUCAAAAUGUGAUGUGGUUGAGUUAAGUGAUAAUCUUAGUGGUCGUGGGGAUCAUCUAACAAUAUUUGUUUUUUCAGAUGUUGUCGAAGUCUGUAAAAAAAGAAAAUCAUUUAAUGGAAAAAGUCCAAAAGAACCAAAUUCUGGUUCACACAAAUUAAAUGGUGGUGCCAAAUCUUAUAAACAUAUCAAAUUGAUGCCGUUAAAUAUAAUCAAACAAGUUAUAGAUAUUAAAGAGACUGAAGACUGUCGUAAUACAUUUUCAUUAAUGAUUAUUGACAAUCAUGACUUUAAAGAACGAUUAUAUACAUUCACUAUGACUGGAAGUAAUUGCAGUGCCAAUCAUAAAAAUAUUUUCUUAAAAAAUAUAUCGCAACAAGUGGCCAACACCGUGUGUUCUGGNAAUAUAUUAGUGUCAUUAGACUCUCAGCAAUUGGACAUUGAUACAAGUGAAAUUACUACUGGUACUCUUGGGAAAGCUUUCAAGUUUGCAAGCAGAACACGCAUUAAAGUUGGACGGGCAUUAAGCUUUAAUAAAACUCCUAGCAAGUUGAAACGAGCUGUGUCUACAAUGAUGAGUCCUGUUCUCAGCUUAACUAACAAUGGAGGGCUGGGUACACAUGCCCUUACUCCGUCCACUCAAUUAGCCAAUAUGCAUUUAGCAUCGUGCACCAAUUUAAAUGUGAGCCCAUUAAAUGAGCGUAAUUAUAGACGUAGUUGUACACUAACGAAAGUCAAGAAACAUGUCAAACGCAAUUCUAAAUUGCGAAUGUCUAGUUAAUUUUUCAGUCGGAGAUCAUUUGGAGAAGAUAACAUGUGUAGUCUUUUGCUUUAUAAAAAAAAAUUAAUUAAAAAUCUUACCUUAUUGGAUCUCAAUAAAAUAAAUAAGGAAAUGUCAUCAGAUGACCAUACGUUUCCAUCGCCACCUUUGUCAGUUCAGCCAAAUAGAAAAAAUAAAACGUCGAUAUUAAG
rnacentral:misc_RNA from 1 species